UGGACCUCAGAUCAGGCAAGAUUACCCGCUGAGUUUAAGCAUAUCACUAAGCGGAGGAAAAGAAACUA
rnacentral:rRNA from 1 species